UGUGAACUCGAAGAGUAGGGCGGGACACGUGGUAUCCUGUCUGAAUAUGGGGGGACCAUCCUCCAAGGCUAAAUACUCCUGACUGACCGAUAGUGAACCAGUACCGUGAGGGAAAGGCGAAAAGAACCCCGGCGAGGGGAGUGAAAAAGAACCUGAAACCGUGUACGUACAAGCAGUGGGAGCACCUUCGGGUGUGACUGCGUACCUUUUGUAUAAUGGGUCAGCGACUUAUAUUCUGUAGCAAGGUUAACCGUAUAGGGGAGCCGCAGGGAAACCGAGUCUUAACUGGGCGUUAAGUUGCAGGGUAUAGACCCGAAACCCGGUGAUCUAGCCAUGGGCAGGUUGAAGGUUGGGUAACACUAACUGGAGGACCGAACCGACUAAUGUUGAAAAAUUAGCGGAUGACUUGUGGCUGGGGGUGAAAGGCCAAUCAAACCGGGAGAUAGCUGGUUCUCCCCGAAAGCUAUUUAGGUAGCGCCUCGUGAAUUCAUCUUCGGGGGUAGAGCACUGUUUCGGCUAGGGGGUCAUCCCGACUUACCAACCCGAUGCAAACUACGAAUACCGAAGAAUGUUAUCACGGGAGACACACGGCGGGUGCUAACGUCCGUCGUGAAGAGGGAAACAACCCAGACCGCCAGCUAAGGUCCCAAAGUCAUGGUUAAGUGGGAAACGAUGUGGGAAGGCACAGACAGCCAGGAUGUUGGCUUAGAAGCAGCCAUCAUUUAAAGAAAGCGUAAUAGCUCACUGGUCGAGUCGGCCUGCGCGGAAGAUGUAACGGGGCUAAACCAUGCACCGAAGCUGCGGCAGCGACACUAUGUGUUGUUGGGUAGGGGAGCGUUCUGUAAGCCUGCGAAGGUGACCUGUGAGGGUUGCUGGAGGUAUCAGAAGUGCGAAUGCUGACAUAAGUAACGAUAAAGCGGGUGAAAAGCCCGCUCGCCGGAAGACCAAGGGUUCCUGUCCAACGUUAAUCGGGGCAGGGUGAGUCGACCCCUAAGGCGAGGCCGAAAGGCGUAGUCGAUGGGAAACAGGUUAAUAUUCCUGUACUUGGUGUUACUGCGAAGGGGGGACGGAGAAGGCUAUGUUAGCCGGGCGACGGUUGUCCCGGUUUAAGCAUGUAGGCUG
rnacentral:rRNA from 1 species